UGGCCUACUGACGCCAUCUUUGACACCGGGGAACCAAGUGACAGAGUGCAUUGUGGGUAAUUAAUGAACCGUGUUAGAAAAAAGGCAUUUUUGCUGUGCGUGGCGAGAGCUACAUUCAUCAACUCAGAAACAGAGGAAGCAUAUGCAGGAAUGUGUUGCAGACACAGACAGUCCUAAUUAGCACAUGGCACAUGAUGUAUCAGGAUGAUGGGCAGAGUGCAGCUUGACUAGUUUGCGGUUAGUUCGCUUCUCUGUCUGCGGUCAUACAUCAUCAACGUGAGCCAGACGCUGCUGUCUGCCUGCGAGCCUCACGAUCCACUGACUCGCAUAUGACGUCAACGAGCUGCAUCCUGAUCCACCCAGAGCCCUGGAGUAUAGCAGAACGGAGCAUGAGCUGUGCUAUUUUUAGGGCUGCGUCCUCAUGUUAAGAAAAGUUAAUUCCACUUAAAAUGCAGCGAUCAUGCCACAAGACACAGAAAAUAGAACUUGAAACAUAAUUAUAUUACAUCCCCAGAGCUGGGUAGAUUACCUUUACAUUUACUUUUAGUCAUUUAGACACUUUUAAUCAAAGUGAUUUACUAAUGAGGACAGUAGAAGCAAUUAAAACUAACAAACAGCAACAAUACGUAAGUGCAAAUGACAAGUCUCUGUUAGCCUAACACUGAACAUGUAGCAAGAAUGGUAAACACUAUUAACAGCAAUGAUUAUAUGUUUUGUUCAAACUUACAUCAAAGUUUGGUAGUUUGUAUGUUGUUUCAGAGUUGGCAUCAUCUGAGGUCCUCUGAGGGGUUGGCAUCAUCCCUUCUCAGGUGUACAGUUCUUGAUUAGCUGACGCUGCGAAAGUGGAGACCUCAUCAACAUGGAGGGUCCGGAGAACAGAUGGGGGGCUGAUGUAACGACUGCAGUGCUAGCACUUUCCUGCAAGAUAUCUGAGAAUAACAUACAUUUAUAACUUCAAUAAGUUCAGGGGGAUGCUAGCCUAAGAUAAUUUAUUGUUCAUUAUUUGUUUUUAUUUGUAAAAGUCACGGAAGAUGGCAUUAAUGUACAAAAUAUUGCUCUCAUUUAAAAAAUACAAAGCAAAGCAAAAGCGUCAUGCAGUUUAACUGACAAUGGUUUGACACAGUGUCUAUUUUUUGUCCAUAACUGUGUAAAUCUAAGCUUAUGUUGCAGGCAAAUGAGAUUCUACUUUCCACAAAUGUAAAACUCUUAAUAAGAGAAACUCAGUGCUUAUGUGAAUGCAUGGUGUGAUAGGGUAUGUAUAAUAUGGUUAAACUUUAUACUACAUUUUAUUAUAUAGGUUUUGUAGUCUUGCGCAUUUUUUAAUGAAAUUUGAGGCAUACAGUAUGAGGUUUGGGAUCCACCAAAAUAUGUUUUGUAUUCAAGUGAUGCACAUUUGAAAAUAAAAAAAGCUGGAUUUGUGCACCGCUCAGGUUUAAUUAAAAAAACUGAAAAAUGUGCGCAACGGUUAGACAAAUCUAUGUCAUUUUAUUCAGAUGUAACACAAACAUGCACACUUUUCUGAACUUAUUCGAACUGAAUGAAUCCGUCUAGUCCUCUAGUGAGUUUUCCAAAUGGUUUUAGUCAUCUAGUUAACCAGCCGCUGCAUGGCUAGAAGAAGCAUCCCCUCCAUUAUCUCUGUUUAGCUUGUAAUCUGCUCCACGAACCUCGCUGGAUUAAUGAAGCGUCCUGAGCCAAUAAGUCGGCAGUGGCAGCCGAAGAGCGGCGGUCACCGUCAGCCAUUCAUUGGCUCAGGACGGAGUUAUUGCAGCGAGAUGCACAUGAAAUCAGUGUAAUAUCUGCUGUAAUAUAGCUGCCGUUACUGUGAGAUGCCUGAUAACUCGCAUAAUAACCAGAUUAGCAAUAUGUCACACUAAGCUGUUGGCCAAAGGCUGGGGAAUUGGGAAGUUUCUCCAUUCCUACGGAAAUGAGGAGGCUUUGAAUAGAAAAUCUUGAACUCAGUUUGUCUUCUGUUAAGGCUGAGGAUUGUGUCUCAAAGCAGGCUCAUUCAUCGACUCAAUGCUUCGUCUGCCGCUCCAAGCACUGAAAGGGUCAUCUGUAUGUUUUAUUUCCUUCAGGGUUUCUGCGGGUCUUAAAAGCAGGCCAUUCAUUUGACCUUCCACAAGUUAAGGCCUUAGAUCUUAAACUGAGUCUUCAAUUCAUAAAGUAAUUGCAUUAAUUGUUAAUUAAAUGUUGCACGUAUUGUUAUCUUUGUCAGCAUUUUAAAACUUCAUUUUAAUAUAUAUUUUUCGAAAACCAGACUUUUUCAGGUUUCUGUGGAGCAAGUUCUUUGUCUUAAUUAACCCUUCAACAAAUUAUGACAUUAAAAAGUCG
rnacentral:lncRNA from 1 species